rnacentral:rRNA from 1 species
GGCGGACGGGUGAGUAAUGCCUAGGAAUCUGCCUGGUAGUGGGGGAUAACGUCCGGAAACGGGCGCUAAUACCGCAUACGUCCUGAGGGAGAAAGUGGGGGAUCUUCGGACCUCACGCUAUCAGAUGAGCCUAGGUCGGAUUAGCUAGUUGGUGGGGUAAAGGCCUACCAAGGCGACGAUCCGUAACUGGUCUGAGAGGAUGAUCAGUCACACUGGAACUGAGACACGGUCCAGACUCCUACGGGAGGCAGCAGUGGGGAAUAUUGGACAAUGGGCGAAAGCCUGAUCCAGCCAUGCCGCGUGUGUGAAGAAGGUCUUCGGAUUGUAAAGCACUUUAAGUUGGGAGGAAGGGCAGUAAGUUAAUACCUUGCUGUUUUGACGUUACCAACAGAAUAAGCACCGGCUAACUUCGUGCCAGCAGCCGCGGUAAUACGAAGGGUGCAAGCGUUAAUCGGAAUUACUGGGCGUAAAGCGCGCGUAGGUGGUUCAGCAAGUUGGAUGUGAAAUCCCCGGGCUCAACCUGGGAACUGCAUCCAAAACUACUGAGCUAGAGUACGGUAGAGGGUGGUGGAAUUUCCUGUGUAGCGGUGAAAUGCGUAGAUAUAGGAAGGAACACCAGUGGCGAAGGCGACCACCUGGACUGAUACUGACACUGAGGUGCGAAAGCGUGGGGAGCAAACAGGAUUAGAUACCCUGGUAGUCCAUGCUGUAAACGAUGUCGAUUCGAAGGUUGUGACUUUGAGUUAUGGCUUUCGGAGCUAACGCGUUAAAUCGACCGCCUGGGGAGUACGACCGCAAGGUUAAAACUCAAAUGAAUUGACGGGGGCCCGCACAAGCGGUGGAGCAUGUGGUUUAAUUCGAUGCAACACGAAGAACCUUACCUACUCUUGACAUCCAAAGAACCAUAUAGAGAUAUAUGGGUGCCUUCGGGAACUUUGAGACAGGUGCUGCAUGGCUGUCGUCAGCUCGUGUUGUGAAAUGUUGGGUUAAGUCCCGCAACGAGCGCAACCCUUAUCCUUUGUUGCCAUCGAGUAAAGUCGGGAACUCAAAGGAGACUGCCGGUGAUAAACCGGAGGAAGGUGAGGAUGACGUCAAGUCAUCAUGGCCCUUAUGAGUAGGGCUACAAACGUGCUACAAUGGCGUAUACAAAGAGAAGCGAUCUUGCGAAAGUUAGCAAACCUCAUAAAGUACGUCUUAGUCCGGAUUGGAGUCUGCAACUCGACUCCAUGAAGUCGGAAUCGCUAGUAAUCGUGGAUCAGAAUGUCACGGUGAAUACGUUCCCGGGCCUUGUACACACCGCCCGUCACACCAUGGAA